AAAACAUUAUAUUCUCUCCGACGUAUUAAACUCUCCCCCCAAUUUCUAAUUAGAUGGAAAAAAAUAGUAAACCGAUAUACUCAGCUCUAAUUUCACAAAUAUACUCAGCUUUAAUCCCUCGUCACUGCCCAAAUCCCUCGCAAGCUUGCAAUAAGAUCAACUCAGGUACCUAUUUAUUCUAUCCUUACUAAUCUCUAAUCUAAUUAAAACGUAAUUGAUGGUGAGGGUAACAUCAGACUCCAUACAAAGAUUGAGAGGCUUGAAGAUGGGUUCCAAUUCAUUGAAUAGCUAACGGUUCAAUAUAGCCUAGGUACCUGUUUCUUCUUUCAAUAGAGCUCACAAUUUCUCCCUAAUUCCUCUUUGUUACAACAAUCUAUGAUGUUACAAUUGGAAAUUUUGACGCUUUAGUUGGGAAUUUUACACGUAUUUCAGUUCUCGUCAGUUUCAGUCAUUGAAAUUUCCCUGAAGCUUCAUCACACGGAAGGGUUUUGCUGGAAUAAAGAUUAUUAGGUAGAACUUUAUUAUUGCAUAUAGGUUUAUUUCAUGUCUAUUUUUAUCAAGAAUGAUAAGCUUUCUAGGUACAUUGUGUAUCGAAAGUGUUGUACAUUUUUUAAGAUGGGUGAAAUCCAUUUUGAAUUGAGUUUUGAUGUUUCUAGAGAUGAUAAUUAUACAGGUUAGCUAGAAAGGGUAAAUUUUGACCUGUAGCUCAUCUUACUUUGCCAAAAUUGUGUUGAUGGGUAUUUGUUUAUGAAACUAAACGAUGAUAGAGCACGCCUUGAAUCAUAUGCCUUGUCAACGUUAGUUCAAUACACUUGUACCUUUAGUUUCAUGGAUUCACGAGGCAAUUUCUCCUACAAAAGUAGCAAUCAUAAAACAUAUACAUGAACAGAUCUUGUACCCCGUUUUAAAAACCAUCAGAUAAUAGUCUGCUUUUUAAUUCUAUUUUUUAUCCCAUAAAAUCUUGAAAUCUUCACUUUAUAAUGUUUUUCCAAAUUUGGCUACAAAGGUUACAAUGACUUUGUAAUUAUUACUUUUGUAUUGUAGAAUCAUUACCUGUCUCGAUAGUCUUUUCGCAAGUAUAUGGUCUUCUGGAAUGACGAAUGAACUAACUUAUGAAGGUUUUAGGUUAUGUUCCUCGGGCUCUUCAAAAUGUCAUUGGGUAUAUGUUGGAACCUUCAAAAGUUGUGCACUAUUGAAGGAUCCAACACGGGUGCGACCACAUUUUUGAAGAGUCUGAACAACUUAGGUUUUAGGUAAUUUUUAUGUUAAGUGUAUGCCAUUGCUAUAUAGCUAAUCCAAGUUAGUUAGAGGUUUCAUUUGGUAGCUUUACUUUAAACUUUACCAAAUGCUCAAAUGCUUAAUGUGCACGUAAUAGUCGACUUUGCCAAGGAAUGUUUUACACGUCUCUUGCAUUUAUAGCAAGAAUUCGGGACAGAUAGAAGGUGGUCUUACUAUGAGAACUAGUUUUUUUUUAGGAACCAAAAUAGUUUUCUUAGAGAUCUUGAUCUGCAGCUUAAUAUUCUUUACCCUUCUAAUUUGGCAUAAAUUAUGUUGCCACAUAUUGUCAAAAUCUGAGCAGCAAAUUAGUUAAUCAUUAUAUGAUGUUUUGGUUAUCAAUGAUUGUCUAUGAUUUAGUCUUUCUCUAUUAUAUAGAAUUUGCGAGUUUUCUCUCAAAGGUUGUAAAGUCCGAUCUGGUUUUUGUAACAACAUGUGGAAAAAAUGAAUUAUUUUAAAAUCUGGGAACUUGUAUUAUUUGUGAAAAGAUCUUUGCAGGUGGUAUUCUCUCAAAGGUUAUUAAUUAUGUCAUCAUAAGCUGUAUUUUGCUCAACAAAGGGAAUUUCUUGAUUUACUUCUAGGGGAAAUAUUUAUUUUACUUUUUACCUUUCCACUUCUACUACUUAACUCUUUCAUUGAUCUUCUUGUCUUAUGUUUAUCAGUGAAAUUAACAAUAGCAUUGUACCCAACAUGUUUAUCAGUGACAAUGUCUUACAUAAUCUUUUGUUAUUGGAACAUAUAUUACUCACUGAAUUUACACUUGAUUUCAUUUAUUACAUUGGAAUGACUUGUACUAUGUAUUGCUUUACUUGUUCUAACAUUUUCUAAAUGUCAUAAUAUAUGCAUGAUUCAAAAUUAUUAUCUUGGUGAACUAUUGAUUUUCAAUUAUUUGUUUAUUUAGUUUAAGAAAUUGACCUCAUGAUCUCUCUUACUGUAUAUUAUUAAAUUAAUUAUAUGUUUUCUGAAGCAUGCAACAUUCUGAAGUUCAAUUUUUUUUCUUUGAGAAAUUAGAACAUUCAUUCUGAACUUCAAAAAAUUGUAUCUACAAAAUUUCAAAGAGCUAUCAGCUACAUAUGAUGGACUGGUAGAGAAAAAAAAACAGUGAUGGCAUAGGGAAAAACAAAUCAUAUUGACUUGAAUUUUUUUGUGUAGCAUUUGGAGGACAAGAAUGAAUUAGUUGCCCAAGAAGAUUUGAUGUUCUCAUUUCUAAUUAUCUUGAUCCGAUUGUAUGUAUGAUAGUGCAAGAAGUUGUCACUCAACUACUUACCGUAUGACGAAUCUGGAAGCGAACUAUACAAGAAAGAAGGAUCUAAAAGAAGAAAAUCUAGAAGGCAUUAAAAUGAUGUUUAUCCCUUAUCAAAUAAUGAUAUAAGUAAUAUUCGCCGCUCAAAGGCAAAGGAUAUGCUUCCAGCAAUUUGGUUCAUCUUCAGUAGGAACGGAAGUGAUGUGGCUGUCCAAUAUCUUGAAGACUACAGGUUACUAGAUGAGUGUGAGACAAGUGAAGUUGAACUGCCACUCAAUAGGUGUCGUAUUCAAUACCCCAAUAUUGUACGUGUAUCUGUAUUGAAAUGCAUCUAUCAAGGAGUGGCUUCAUAUGUGAUGAACUACAAAGGAUCACUUCCAUUGGAGAGCAACCCAUACCAAGGGCGGCACAUGCUGCUACAUACAGUUGUGUGAACUAUGGUUGUUAUUCAGGGUGGAAUUGGUCCAACUUGUUUGUCAGCUGAGGGUCUUCAUGUUCUGGACCUUAACAAAGACAAUGAUGGCAUUGUUUAGCACCUGUGGAGUAAUGUCUGCAGUAACAAUGAUGGCAUUGUUUAGCACCUGUGGAGUAAUGUCUGCAGUUAUCAUUUUGGAAGUGUAGGAAUAUGUAGGUGAUCAAAUUUCAAUUGUUUACACAAGUAAACUCGAUCUAAUGAAGUGAAUGAUAGAGUUUUUGAACUAUUGUUAUGCUUGAGUACAUUUGGUUGUAUGGAACUUAUUGCUAGUGCAAAUCAUUAAGACAUUGAAUUCUAA